rnacentral:rRNA from 1 species
GACGAACGCUGGCGGCGUGCCUAAUACAUGCAAGUUGAGCGAUGAAGAUUGGUGCUUGCACCAAUUUGAAGAGCAGCGAACGGGUGAGUAACGCGUGGGGAAUCUGCCUUUGAGCGGGGGACAAAAUUUGGAAACGAAUGCUAAUACCGCAUAACAACUUUAAACAUAAGUUUUAAGUUUGAAAGAUGCAAUUGCAUCACUCAAAGAUGAUCCCGCGUUGUAUUAGCUAGUUGGUGAGGUAAAGGCUCACCAAGGCGAUGAUACAUAGCCGACCUGAGAGGGUGAUCGGCCACAUUGGGACUGAGACACGGCCCAAACUCCUACGGGAGGCAGCAGUAGGGAAUCUUCGGCAAUGGACGAAAGUCUGACCGAGCAACGCCGCGUGAGUGAAGAAGGUUUUCGGAUCGUAAAACUCUGUUGGUAGAGAAGAACGUUGGUGAGAGUGGAAAGCUCAUCAAGUGACGGUAACUACCCAGAAAGGGACGGCUAACUACGUG